rnacentral:lncRNA from 1 species
GGUGUGUGUCUGGUCGAUCUCAACAACAUGGCGACACAAGGGUUCCCUCACAAACCCUAGUUCAUGCUAAAUCUCACAAAUUUAAGGUCAAGAUCAAUUCCAAAUCAAAAUCCGAGCACGAAAUAGUGAUCUCCAUUGAAAAGGAGUCAUAAUGAAAGGAAACCAGAGCGUCAAGUGGACAAGCCGGUGGUGACGCGCGAUUGAAAGGGGUGCUUUGAAAGUUGAGGCGUUCGUGCGUUUCUAUCCCACCCAACCAAGCUUCCUGCGAAUUUUAGGUUAUAACAGGCAUUGAAGAUGAUUGAAUUUUUCAUGCGUCAAGCGCUGAUUACGCUCUUCUUCUACCAACGGUCAUUGAGUAAUUGAAGACGAUCACGUGGUGAACACAGAGAAUAGCAUGAUUGCACAAUAUCGUAUCGUACCGGUUCCGUAGGAACUAGGAAGCAACCAUUUUGAAGGGUAAGUCAACCAUCUACUUCUAAUCAGAUUGGUAAGUGACUUCCCAACCUUAACUUUGCUUUAUUAAGUUUUAAUUUUAAUCAGAUUGUUAAGACAAUUUCAAAUACAUUACACUGAUUUCUUGUUAAUUACCAUGUUUUCACUACACGUGGUUAGUUGGUUACUCUUUCAAUGUGGUUUUACUUUGCAAAUGAGUUUUUUUGUCGAACUUUUACACAUCUAACAAGACUUUUAAGCAUUAUUCUUAUUAUUUUUUUCAAGUGGGUUAGGAUCUUUUUGUUCACUUCUUCAUUCUGUAAUGUGGGUUUUCUUUGAUUGAUUGAAAGAUUAGGGUUUUAGGGGCCCUAUUUGUGUUUCUUGAUUCUUUAGAGUUGAACAUUGUGGUUUGAGGGUUUGAUUUUGUUUUGUAAGUAGCAAAAAUGUCUUGUAUGAAAUUGGGAUCCAAAGCAGAUGCGUUUCAGAAAAAAGGCCAAGCUUGGUAUGUUCUUUAAUCUCUGGUAAACUUGUUAUGCGUUCUGGUCUGUUGAGUACAUAUUGAUAUAACUAAUUGUAUAUGUGUAUGUGUGUGUAAUGUGCAUAUGCAACAUGAUGGAGUAUGAUGCUGUGACUUUUGUGGUUAUGAAUUUCUUCAUGAUAUGUGGAUUUUAGCUGGUUAUCUUUAUCCAAUAUAGUUUCCUUUGCUUUCAAGAAGUGGGGUUAUGGAAAAAUUGAUAGCAGAUGCAUCUGAGAAAAAAGAAUUGGGAUUCAACUUGAUCAGGCAACCCUUGAAGAUUUAUUAAUGCCGAAUUUUUCUUAUUCGAUGGAAACGUUGUAUAACUUUGAAUGCGUGCUGAGGAUGGUUCAACAUUUUAUGGCUAUUGAUCAAGCAACAGGUGGUGCGUCUCCUUGUUCUAUCUAGGAUGAAUAGUUGUUGGGUUCACCAUCUCUGACACCUGUCACCAUGGUGGCUAAGCUAAUUGACAGUUACUUGGUGGAAGUUGCACCCGAUGUUAAUUUAAAGCUUACAAAGUUCAUGGCUCUUGCUGAGGCUGUUCCCGAGUGAUGCUCGUUUGUUGUGGAUGUUGAUCAAGCAAGGGAAUCAAGAACCGAACACAAGUUUUGAAUGCUUCCGGGCUAAUCUUAUCUAGUUUAAAACAUGUUGUUUUGUAUACUCUUUUGAAUGUUGAACAUUUUAAUCUAGUUAGUCGACUAUGUUUAAAUACUAUAAUGAUGUACAUCUUAGUUAUUAACUAAGUUUUUGUUGGUCAUGUAUUUCGAAUUUAAAAAGUCCGUAUUUUAUGGUUAUAAAAAGAAAUUA